CUGUCCAGAGCCCAGGUUUUAGUCAGGUCUGGAAUGUUUCAAGCAGCCUGGUUCUGAGGAAAACAAUCAAUCCACAGAAUUACCUGGCACUGCUCUCCAACAAGAUACCAUCUACCACAUUUCUACCAUUUCUUUCUAGACUCCAGGUUGUGCCCUUUGGAGGUUCUUCUUGCAGUUUCCAAAGGUGCACAAGGGUCACAUCAUCCCCUUUGUGCCACAUGUGAGGAGGAGGAGGAUGCAAGAGGAUCAACCUACUGCAGUGAGGGGAGGAGGAAACCACAGCAAAGGAGAGAGAGAAGAUGCAAUUCCUUGCGCUUGGUAACAAUAAUGUUGUACUGCCUGUGCUUAAAGGGCUCCCCAGGAGAGCCAAGUAUUCCCUGUCCUGGCCACCUAAAGCGAGCUUCCCAGAUAGAUGAUCUCCACUCCAGCUACCCCAUCUGCUGCCCAAACGUGACCACUUUGCCAUGGGCUUCAGAGAACUUUGAGUAAUGAAGAGAGACUGGAAACCCCACGCUGUGUUUAAUGAUCUGCUUGGCAUCCUGGCCUGGAGAAUGAGAACAGAAAGGAGAGUAACAAAAUGCCAACUCUGGAUCAGAAGAUACUGACAGACUCUUUAGAAACAGCUAGGGCUGAACCAGCAAAACCAAGACCAAACAGGAAAACAGCAAAACAAAGCUGAACUGCUUCCUUUGCAUUUAGGGAAUCGGCUGUGACCAACCCAACAGGGAGUCAAACUCUACUUUUUAAAUCCUUCCCCAAGCACAAAAAACCGGCAGUGGCAUCAAAAGCACUGAGCACCCAGCUGGUCUUAAACAUUGUCCAGGACGUAGGGGAAAAAGAAGGGGGAAAAAAAGGAGGGAAACAAAUCAGCCAGGUACUAAUGGUAAUCUUUUAAACAACUUGGGACAGAAAGAGCAAAGCAGAAAUGAUCAGUGUUUUCCAAACUGUAUUCCAUCAGAACAGCACUGCCUCCAAUAUAAAUCUCUUUACAAGCACUGAUCUCCUUAGAGUCCUUAAAUGCCAUCUUUAU